CGUACCUUCUCUUCGGAGCAGGAGUGACAGGUGGUGCAUGGUUGUCGUCAGCUCGUGUCGUGAGAUGUUGGGUUAAGUCCCGCAACGAGCGCAACCCUUAUCUUUAGUAGCCAGCGGUUCGGCCGGGCACUCUAGAGAGACUGCCAGGGAUAACCUGGAGGAAGGCGGGGAUGACGUCAAAUCAUCAUGCCCCUUAUGACUUGGGCUACACACGUGCUACAAUGGCGUAAACAAAGGGAAGCAAAGCUGUGAAGCCGAGCAAAUCUCAAAAAUAACGUCUCAGUUCGGACUGUAGUCUGCAACCCGACUACACGAAGCUGGAAUCGCUAGUAAUCGCAGAUCAGAAUGCUGCGGUGAAUACGUUCCCGGGUCUUGUACACACCGCCCGUCACACCAUGGGAGUUGGGAAUGCCCGAAGCCAGUGACCUAACCGAAAGGAAGGAGCUGUCGAAGGCAGGCUCGAUAACUGGGGUGAAGUCGUAACAAGGUAGCCGUAUCGGAAGGUGCGGCUGGAUCACCUCCUUUCUAAGGAA
rnacentral:rRNA from 1 species